AGGUCAGGAAGGGCAAGCACUGGUGGCCUACCCAGGACUUGGCCCAACCCUCUGGGUCAGGUCACCCUCGUCGGAGUGAGCGGACCCCGCUGGAAUUGGAGCCCAGUAAGGUCUAUGAGUUUGGUGUUUUGAUCCUGGCUACCCAUCCCUUCCAUCCCAGGGGUGGUUCACCAGGCUGAGUGGAGCCUUAUACUAGGGAGAGAGGAAGCUGAAGAACUGGGCUCCAGGUGGAUCAAUUCUAUGAUGACAACUUUCCCAUGGAAAUUCGGCAUCUGUUGGCCCAAUGGAUUGAAAAUCAAGACUGGGAGGCAGCUUCUAACAAUGAAACCAUGGCAACGAUUCUUCUUCAAAACUUGUUAAUACAACUGGAUGAACAGUUAGGUCGUGUUUCCAAAGAGAAAAACCUACUCUUGAUACACAAUCUAAAAAGAAUUAGGAAGGUCCUUCAGGGAAAAUUUCAUGGAAAUCCAAUGCAUGUAGCUGUGGUUAUUUCAAACUGUUUAAGGGAAGAGAGGAGAAUAUUGGCUGCAGCCAACAUGCCUGUCCAG
rnacentral:lncRNA from 1 species